GACCUGAUAGCACAGUGGUUAGUGCGUCUGUGGCAGAUUCGCAAAUUAGUUCGCAGGAGGACUUAUGCAGAAGGCCCCUGUUCGAUUCGGGGUCAGGUCG